rnacentral:tRNA from 1 species
GGACCGGUAGCUCAGGGGUAGAGCGUUCGGCUGCAGUCCGAACGGUCACGCGCGUUCAAAUCGCGUUCAGUCCU